GAUGAACGCUGGCGGCGUGCCUAAUACAUGCAAGUCGAGCGAACAGACGAGGAGCUUGCUCCUCUGACGUUAGCGGCGGACGGGUGAGUAACACGUGGAUAACCUACCUAUAAGACUGGGAUAACUUCGGGAAGCCGGAGCUAAUACCGGAUAAUAUAUUGAACCGCAUGGUUCAAUAGUGAAAGACGGUUUUGCUGUCACUUAUAGAUGGAUCCGCGCCGCAUUAGCUAGUUGGUAAGGUAACGGCUUACCAAGGCAACGAUGCGUAGCCGACCUGAGAGGGUGACCGGCCACGCUGGAACUGAGACACGGUCCAGACUCCUACGGGAGGCAGCAGUAGGGAAUCUUCCGCAAUGGGCGAAAGCCUGACGGAGCAACGCCGCGGGAAUGAUGAAGGUCUUCGGAUCGUAAAACGCUGUUAUUAGGGAAGAACAAAUGUGUAAGUAACUAUGCACGUCUUGACGGUACCUAAGCAGAAAACCACGGCUAACUACGU
rnacentral:rRNA from 1 species